AACGGCCAUACCAUGCUGAAUAUACCGGUUCUCGUUAGAUCACCGAAGUUAAGCAUCAUUGGGCGCGGUCAGUACUUGGGUGGGUGACCACCUGGGAACAUUGCGUGCCGUU
rnacentral:rRNA from 1 species